GUUGCUCAACCGCUAUGCGUAGUAGCGAUUAAACGGAGAUAAUUCAUACUAAACGUGGCACUGUAAUUGUAAUUGAGUGAAAAAAUGUACGAGACGAGCUUUUGGCAACUAAAAUUUCUCACCACUUACGCAUGUCAUCAAGGAUAUUCCACUCGAUCUAUUACUGUCCACCUCGAAAUACGAAAUCUAUUACUGUCCACCUCGUUAUCAAGAAAAAAAUACAAACAUGUGUAUAGAUAAAUAGUCGGGUGAGGAAUCAUUUAUCGUGAAUAUAAUGCUGAGUCUUAUUAUAAUAAAAUGCGCCUUCAUGGAGGCAGUGAAGAAGCAAUUGCGCUUUGCGUAAUUUUGAAUUGAAAAUAUUGUUCGUACGAGUCACAUCAAUGAAGAUAAUGUACGCAACUCGUGCAGGUGAAGAAAUGAAGUUUAUUAUUCCCGUUAUCACUGCGUGUCUGACUAUACUACUAUUUUUAUUCGUUUCUAAAAUAAGUAUAUAAUCAACAAAAAUAAAAACUAAUGUACAAGAUAUUCGUGACAUUCGUAUUAUGUAAUACU